GUGUUGGCUGGGAUGGCGCUUCUAUCGCGGUGCCUGGCAUGCAUUGCGGGGCGGCGCGGCCAAUAUGGAUGUGCUGGUCGCCCUGGGCACC
rnacentral:tRNA from 1 species